GAUGAAGAACGUAGCGAAAUGCGAUAAGUAAUGUGAAUUGCAGAAUUCAGUGAAUCAUCGAAUCUUUGAACGCACAUUGCGCCCGCCAGCACUCUGGCGGGCAUGCCUGUUCGAGCGUCAUUUCAACCAUCAAGCCCCCAGGGGCUUGUGCUGGGGCCCUGCGGCUGCCCGCAGGCCCUGAAAACCAGUGGCGGGCUCGCUAGUCACACCGAGCGCAGUAGCACAUCUCGCUCAGGGCGUGCGGCGGGCUCCUGCCGUGAAACCCCCCACUGUAACCCCAAAGGUUGACCUCGGAUCAGGUAGGAAUUCCCGCUGAACUUAAGCAUAUCAAUAAGCGGAGGA
rnacentral:misc_RNA from 1 species